AACGAACGCUGGCGGCAUGCCUAACACAUGCAAGUCGAACGAGACCUUCGGGUCUAGUGGCGCACGGGUGCGUAACGCGUGGGAAUCUGCCCUUGGGUUCGGAAUAACAGUUGGAAACGACUGCUAAUACCGGAUGAUGACGUAAGUCCAAAGAUUUAUCGCCCAAGGAUGAGCCCGCGUAGGAUUAGCUAGUUGGUGAGGUAAAGGCUCACCAAGGCGACGAUCCUUAGCUGGUCUGAGAGGAUGAUCAGCCACACUGGGACUGAGACACGGCCCAGACUCCUCCGAGAGGCGGCAGAGGGGAAUAUUGAACAGUGGGCGAAAGCCUGAUGAGGCGAUGCCGCGUGAGAGAUGAAGGCGUUAGGGUAGUAAAGCGCUUUUACCCGGGAUGAUAAUGACAGUACCGGAAGAAUAAGCUCCGGCUAACUCCGUG
rnacentral:rRNA from 1 species